UCAUGUCCACCCUUCACAGCCCUAGUACAUCACCUUUCACGCUUGACCUUCACCUCAUGCCGUCGACUGCCAUGUCACAUCCUGCACCUGCACAUUACAAGCCAAGAGACACAACACACAAGAUAUGUUUUGUACAAACACCACAACACAACACAUUCGGUUAGCCGUUAGCAUAAUCAAGCAUAUAUGGAAUAUGGACUCAACUGGUAAAGCCUCAAAUCAUUAGUCAAUCACUCAUCACAAAUAGAUCAAGACACUUCUCAACUUGGUCUCUCAAUCUCCC
rnacentral:lncRNA from 1 species